AAAUUGAAGAGUUUGAUCAUGGCUCAGAUUGAACGCUGGCGGCAGGCCUAACACAUGCAAGUCGAACGGUAACAGGAAACAGCUUGCUGUUUCGCUGACGAGUGGCGGACGGGUGAGUAAUGUCUGGGAAACUGCCUGAUGGAGGGGGAUAACUACUGGAAACGGUAGCUAAUACCGCAUAACGUCGCAAGACCAAAGAGGGGGACCCUCGGGCCUCUUGCCAUCGGAUGUGCCCAGAUGGGAUUAGCUUGUUGGUGGGGUAACGGCUCACCAAGGCGACGAUCCCUAGCUGGUCUGAGAGGAUGACCAGCCACACUGGAACUGAGACACGGUCCAGACUCCUACGGGAGGCAGCAGUGGGGAAUAUUGCACAAUGGGCGCAAGCCUGAUGCAGCCAUGCCGCGUGUAUGAAGAAGGCCUUCGGGUUGUAAAGUACUUUCAGCGGGGAGGAAGGGAGUAAAGUUAAUACCUUUGCUCAUUGACGUUACCCGCAGAAGAAGCACCGGCUAACUCCGUGCCAGCAGCCGCGGUAAUACGGAGGGUGCAAGCGUUAAUCGGAAUUACUGGGCGUAAAGCGCACGCAGGCGGUUUGUUAAGUCAGAUGUGAAAUCCCCGGGCUCAACCUGGGAACUGCAUCUGAUACUGGCAAGCUUGAGUCUCGUAGAGGGGGGUAGAAUUCCAGGUGUAGCGGUGAAAUGCGUAGAGAUCUGGAGGAAUACCGGUGGCGAAGGCGGCCCCCUGGACGAAGACUGACGCUCAGGUGCGAAAGCGUGGGGAGCAAACAGGAUUAGAUACCCUGGUAGUCCACGCCGUAAACGAUGUCGACUUGGAGGUUGUGCCCUUGAGGCGUGGCUUCCGGAGCUAACGCGUUAAGUCGACCGCACCGGGAGUACGGCCGCAAGGUUAAAACUCAAAUGAAUUGACGGGGCCCGCACAAGCGGUGGAGCAUGUGGUUUAAUUCGAUGCAACGCGAAGAACCUUACCUGGUCUUGACAUCCACGGAAGUUUUCAGAGAUGAGAAUGUGCCUUCGGGAACCGUGAGACAGGUGCUGCAUGGCUGUCGUCAGCUCGUGUUGUGAAAUGUUGGGUUAAGUCCCGCAACGAGCGCAACCCUUAUCCUUUGUUGCCAGCGGUCCGGCCGGGAACUCAAAGGAGACUGCCAGUGAUAAACUGGAGGAAGGUGGGGAUGACGUCAAGUCAUCAUGGCCCUUACGACCAGGGCUACACACGUGCUACAAUGGCGCAUACAAAGAGAAGCGACCUCGCGAGAGCAAGCGGACCUCAUAAAGUGCGUCGUAGUCCGGAUUGGAGUCUGCAACUCGACUCCAUGAAGUCGGAAUCGCUAGUAAUCGUGGAUCAGAAUGCCACGGUGAAUACGUUCCCGGGCCUUGUACACACCGCCCGUCACACCAUGGGAGUGGGUUGCAAAAGAAGUAGGUAGCUUAACCUUCGGGAGGGCGCUUACCACUUUGUGAUUCAUGACUGGGGUGAAGUCGUAACAAGGUAACCGUAGGGGAACCUGCGGUUGGAUCACCUCCUUACCUUAAAGAAGC
rnacentral:rRNA from 1 species